GAUGAACGCUAGCUACAGGCUUAACACAUGCAAGUCGCGGGGCAGCAUGGGGGUUGCUUGCAACCCCCGAUGGCGACCGGCGCGCGGGUGAGUAACGCGUAUCCAACCUGCCCUUCACCAGCGGGAUAACCCGGCGAAAGUCGGACUAAUACCGUAUGUUGUCCAUUGACGGCAUCCGAUUUGGACGAAAGGCUUUGCGGUGAAGGAUGGGGAUGCGUCCGAUUAGCUUGACGGCGGGGUAACGGCCCACCGUGGCUACGAUCGGUAGGGGUUCUGAGAGGAAGGUCCCCCACACUGGAACUGAGACACGGUCCAGACACCUACGGGAGGCAGCAGUGAGGAAUAUUGGUCAAUGGGCGCAAGCCUGAACCAGCCAAGUAGCGUGCAGGAUGACGGCCCUAUGGGUUGUAAACUGCUUUUAUGCGGGGAUAAAGUGGCCCACGUGUGGGCUUUUGCAGGUACCGCAUGAAUAAGGACCGGCUAAUUCCGUGCCAGCAGCCGCGGUAAUACGGAAGGUCCGGGCGUUAUCCGGAUUUAUUGGGUUUAAAGGGAGCGUAGGCCGCGCCUUAAGCGUGUUGUGAAAUCCGGUUGCUCAACAUCCGGCUUGCAGCGCGAACUGGGGCGCUUGAGUGCGCUGAAAGUAGGCGGAAUUCGUGGUGUAGCGGUGAAAUGCUUAGAUAUCACGAGGAACUCCGAUUGCGAAGGCAGCCUACUGUAGCGCUACUGACGCUGAUGCUCGAAAGCGUGGGUAUCGAACAGGAUUAGAUAUCCUGGUAGUCCACGCGGUAAACGAUGGAUGCUCGUUGUCGGCCCUUUGGGUCGGUGACCAAGCGAAAGCGUUAAGCAUCCCACCUGGGAUACG
rnacentral:rRNA from 1 species